rnacentral:rRNA from 1 species
AUAUCAAUAAGCGGAGGAAAAGAAACCAACAGGGAUUGCCCCAGUAACGGCGAGUGAAGCGGCAAGAGCUCAAAUUUGAAAGCUGGCUCCUUCGGGGUCCGCAUUGUAAUUUGCAGAGGAUGCUUCGGGAGCGGUCCCCAUCUAAGUGCCCUGGAACGGGACGUCAUAGAGGGUGAGAAUCCCGUAUGGGAUGGGGUGUCCGCGCCCGUGUGAAGCUCCUUCGACGAGUCGAGUUGUUUGGGAAUGCAGCUCUAAAUGGGUGGUAAAUUUCAUCUAAAGCUAAAUAUUGGCCGGAGACCGAUAGCGCACAAGUAGAGUGAUCGAAAGAUGAAAAGCACUUUGAAAAGAGAGUUAAAAAGCACGUGAAAUUGUUGAAAGGGAAGCGCUUGCGACCAGACUCGCUCGCGGGGUUCAGCCGGCAUUCGUGCCGGUGUACUUCCCCGCGAGCGGGCCAGCGUCGGUUUGGGCGGUCGGUCAAAGGCCCCUGGAAGGUAACGCCCCCUCGGGGGCGUCUUAUAGCCAGGGGUGCAAUGCGGCCUGCCCGGACCGAGGAACGCGCUUCGGCUCGGACGCUGGCAUAAUGGUCGUAAGCGACCCGUCUUGAAACACGGACCAAGGAGUCUAACAUCUACGC